rnacentral:lncRNA from 1 species
GUGAACACACAAAAAAAAGGGUGACAUACACAAGAAAGAAAAAGGUUGAACACACACACCAAAAAAAGAAAGGGUGCCCGGAGAGAUUUCGCUCAAUCUCCUGCCUACGUAUCUCAUCUGGUAUGAGAAUCAGGGCGACGUAGUUCCCCUUAACAAGGGUAAAACACUCUCCUAACCAGAGACCAGGGAAACAACAAACUAAUAGGGAGACUAAGACUCGAGCCUAAAAGUUG